UACGUAGGUGGCAAGCGUUGUCCGGAAUUAUUGGGCGUAAAGCGCGCGCAGGCGGUCCUUUAAGUCUGAUGUGAAAGCCCACGGCUCAACCGUGGAGGGUCAUUGGAAACUGGAGGACUUGAGUACAGAAGAGGAAAGCGGAAUUCCACGUGUAACGGUGAAAUGCGUAGAGAUGUGGAGGAACACCAGUGGCGAAGGCGGCUUUCUGGUCUGUAACUGACGCUGAGGCGCGAAAGCGUGGGGAGCAAACAGG
rnacentral:rRNA from 1 species